rnacentral:rRNA from 1 species
UACGGGGGGGGCAAGCGUUGUUCGGAAUUACUGGGCGUAAAGGGCUUGUAGGUGGCCAACUAAGUCAGACGUGAAAUCCCUCGGCUUAACCGAGGAAGUGCAUCCGAAACUGGCGAGCUAGAGUACUAAAGAGGAUCGCGGAAUUCCCGGUGUAGAGGUGAAAUUCGUAGAUAUCGGGAGGAACACCGGUGGCGAAGGCGGCGAUCUGGGGUAGAUACUGACGCUGAGGUGCGAAAGCGUGGGGGAGCAAACA